UGGCAGUGUUACUGAGAGUGACAUUUUGCACAAUGUGUGUACAACGAGAGCUGAGCUCAAAGCAGGGCUGUGAGCACUGCAGGGCUCGUUGCUCUCAGCAGCAGGCCCUGCGUGGGAUCUGUUGAGAGCAGUGCUGAGGACAAAGGUGUCUGCCUGGGAGAUCAGUGCCACGCCGAGCAAUGCUCCAGAGCACACAGAGUGGGACAGCAGCGUCUCCUUUCUCUGCAGUCAUUAAUGUUUGAUCUCCUUAAAUGUAAAGGAGCACAAGUGCCUCUGGACAGGAGGGCGGUGGGGAGCAGAGCACAAGGACUGCCGUCAGUGCCUCCGAUGGCCUGGGAGCUGGGGGCUGAUGGGCAGCAUCUGUGUGAGGCUCUUACAGCUGGUAUGGCUGGGGAAUAAUUCACAGCAGGUGAGGCAGGGAGGCAACAGCAAUUUGAUUUAUAAUUUCUUUUAUAUUUUUAGGAGAUAAUUUCUGGAUGCCAUAGGGAAUGUUAGUUUGCUAGUCUGGGUUGCAGAAUUGAGUUAAUAUCCUCAAUUAAUAGAUUUAAUUUGAAGCUUUAAUAUUCUAAGAUAAUUGGGUACCUCUUGGUGCAAAUGAGCAAAACUACACUUAAAUGGUUAUGGAACACAUUGAUUUGAAAAUCUUUUGGGCUAUGUUAAAGGCUUUUAUUUUCAUAAUUCCCACCACCCACAGAAAUGUUAGGCUUGGACUGGACUUGCAAAACUGCCCAACGCUGACCUUUAAUGUCCUGUCAUUUUCAGUAGGAGUCUGCCAUUCCUUCAAGAAAGAGGCGUACUUGCCAAAACACCCAGAUGCCGCCUGACUUCUUUCUAGGAGACAAAAUAGGAGAGUUCCUUGUCUGUGCUGUGCUCCGAACUUGGCCAUGAGCAUGCAGAGAACAGGUGGGACUGUGCCCUUGCAUGGACUGGGCGGCUGGCGGGCCAGUAUGGGAGCAGACCGAAUUAACACAGAGGACAUGAGUGGCACAUCCCAGAGCCCUGGUGGAGUCACCCUGAGCCGGUCGUGCUGCCGUCCCUGCCGCCGCCUCCCGCACGUGCUAUUCAAUGAGAAACAAACUUGCCAGCAGGGCGGUUCUCUAAGGAUGAACAUUUGCUGA
rnacentral:lncRNA from 1 species